GGACCAAGGAGUCUAGCAUGUGCGCGAGUCAUUGGGACUCUAACGAAACCUAAAGGCGUAAUGAAAGUGAAGGUCCGCCUAGCGCGGGCCGAGGGAGGAUGGGUGACCCCGAGGGGACGCCUCGCACUCCCAGGGCGUCUCGUUCUCAUUGCGAGAAGAGGCGCACCAAGAGCGUACACGCUGGGACCCGAAAGAUGGUGAACUAUGCCUGGUCAGGACGAAGUCAGGGGAAACCCUGAUGGAGGUCCGUAGCGAUUCUGACGUGCAAAUCGAUCGUCGGAACUGGGUAUAGGGGCGAAAGACUAAUCGAACCAUCUAGUAGCUGGUUCCCUCCGAAGUUUCCCUCAGGAUAGCUGGCGCUCGCUUCUCGCGAGUCUCAUUCGGUAAAGCGAAUGAUUAGAGGCAUUGGGGUCGAAACGGCCUCAACCUAUUCUCAAACUUUAAAUGGGUGAGAUCUCCGGCUUGCUUGAACUGUGAAGCCGCGAGAUAUCGGAUCAGAGUGCCAAGUGGGCCACUUUUGGUAAGCAGAACUGGCGCUGUGGGAUGAACCAAACGCUGAGUUAAAGCGCCUAAAUCGACGCUUAUGGGAUACCAUGAAAGGCGUUGGUAACUUAAGACAGCAGGACGGUGGCCAUGGAAGUCGGA
rnacentral:rRNA from 1 species